rnacentral:rRNA from 1 species
CUACGGGGUGCAGCAGUGAGGAAUAUUGCACAAUGGAGGAAACUCUGAUGCAGCAACGCCGCGUGGAGGAUGACGCAUUUCGGUGUGUAAACUCCUUUUAUGAGUCAAGAAAAUGACGGUAGCUCAUGAAUAAGCACCGGCUAACUCCGUGACAGCAGCCGCGGUAAUACGGAGGGUGCAAGCGUUACUCGGAAUCACUGGGCGUAAAGGACGCGUAGGCGGGAUAUCAAGUCAGGUGUGAAAUCCUACAGCUUAACUGUAGAACUGCACUUGAAACUGGUAACCUAGAGUAUGGGAGGGGGAGAUGGAAUUAGUGGUGUAGGGGUAAAAUCCGUAGAUAUCACUAGGAAUACCUAAAGCGAAGGCGAUCUCCUGGAACAUAACUGACGCUAAGGCGUGAAAGCGUGGGGAGCAAACAGGAUUAGAUACCCCUGUAGUC